UCCACACACCGAACAGCCCCCUUCGAUGGCGCUGUCACCCUGUCGUCGGCCCCGUCGCCGGCCCUCCCCCGCCCCGUCGCCGGCCCUCCCCCGCCACCCUGUCGCCGGCCCCGUCGCUCCCUACUGCAAGCGACACCGCCGCCGCCAUGUCCAAGUCGGGAGCCCUGGAUCUCACAUCGGGCCUUGGCGGGAAGAUCGACAAGGAACAAGUCAAAUCCACGGUCGAAGAUGGGGCGGCGAUGGGUUGGAUGCGGGGAGGAGAUGGGCGGCCAUGGCGCCAUGCACGGCGUGGUGGGCGCCUGGGCGGUGCUGCGUGCGCUGCAAAGUGGCGGCUCCAUGUCGCUGGGAACGGCGUGGAACAGGGCCGGCAUGCUUGCCGUGUACAGGAGCCGUGGCUAGAGCUCGGGCCGACGAAACAAUCACCGGCCACUUUGACCAGUACAAGCCCCAUGGCCACGGGCAGCAGCGCGCACGCUCAGAGAUAGGAUGAAGGGUACUUUUGGCAUGGUAGAAAAAAUUGACAGCUCCAUCCACCGUUGACUAACAGAAUAUGUUUGACAAUAGACGGUAGUGCUAUUGUCAGUCUCUUUUCUGAUGGAAAAUCUGAGGAUAUAUCUUGUUAGAUUUUGUUGCUUUGUUGUGUUUGCUGAAUAAUUCUUGUCGUUGACUUGUCAUGGUUGGUGUUGUGGAUCUGAUUACCUGCGGGAGCGUGCCAAAGGCAGCACCAUGUAUGGAUUCAAGGGAGUGCCGGCUGGUGUUAUGAAGGGAAGUACGUCCUGCUUACUGCUUAUUUCGUGUACCCCUACAGAAACCAGGUAUGUCAGCAUAACCUAUACUAAGCGCACUUAUUGAAAUUUCAGUACUUCAUAUAGACUUUGGUUAUCACCAUUUUCAAACAGGAAGUGGAUCAUCAGUAGGGAUUUUGCUUAGGUACUUCCAUGAAUUAAUAGAUGAUAGUUUUUUCCUCUUGAAGUAUCCUUGUGUGUAUAGGAAAUUUGUGACCGUAAGCAUGACAAAUAUAUGAUGCAUACAGUCUCUGUCCUUUUCAUUUUAGCAACUUUAGAAAUUGUCCAGAUCACCUACCUUCUUCUUAGCAAUGCAACUCAGUUCGCUGUCCAGGCAAUGGAUAUAUCACCCCCUAUUAGUAUUGCCUACGGGCUCUUUGGCUUCUCUUCAUGCCACUCCUUCACCGCACCGUGGUUUCCACGUGAAUUCACCUAUAUAUCACGAAAUAUAGUGUUUCUUAUCAGUGCAAACUAGCAGCCAAUUGAGAUUGAAUUUGUGUGCUCUUGUAUGAGAAGUUAUCUUAACUCAUAAGAGGAUUUGAGCCUUGUUUUAACUGUAUCUGCAAGUUUAAUUUCCGCAGAUUUAUCUCCUAUAUAAAUAGCUACAUUUUUACUGAUCGGUUCUCAUGUUGUUUUGUAAAGGAUGAAUUUCAUAUGCUCACUGAAGAUUUUCUGACUGUCUAAAUGACUUGGGCGCAUCAGGUUUAAUUGAUUUACUAAUUCUAUGCUCCUAUCAGCAGGCCAGAAGAUGUUCCUUGAAGCUUAAGCACAAGGACUUCUUUGUGAGUGGGCAGUACUAUUUUUUUUCAAAUGAUAUCCUUCGUAGGUGCCUGUUCUAAAACAAGAAGUGUGUUUCCAUAAUAUAUUUUUUAUAAUUAAUGAAUUACACUGAAUGUCGCAUGUGAGGAUCAAGCUCCUUGAGUUUGUUAUGCAAAAAUAUAAUGUCUGCAUGUUGCCAAGAAUGUUUGUUAGGUUGAUGAGGCAGCCAUGGGAUGCAUGUGGCGGCUGGCCAGAGGAAGUGUGGGGCACCAGCCCAAGGACGAGUAGGGCCGUUGGGCGGCGGUGACCACACGGAUCUGUGGCAGGAUAACAAUACUAGGAUAGGGCAGUCUGAUGUUCCCUCUCUCUCUAUUCUCUCACCCAUUGCUCUGACAUUUCUCUGCUAAGGAAUUCAGAGCAGCGCUGGCCUCAUAUGCACAGGAGAACAAACUUGAUCUUGAGAUUUGUAUCUUUAAUUCUUUAAUUUACUUCUAAUUGUCACCCUGACAUGUUAUAGUCACUGAUGCCUCUGCCCACUUACAGGAACUGUAUGAUCUUCAUGUUAUUUAUGGCGUCAACCAUAAUAUGUCUGCCAUGUGUACUGCACGGAUGCUGACAAAGCAAUUUUCAUAUUCUAUCGCAUUCAUGUUAAUUUUCUGGCAAGUCCAAGAGAUGGAAAUCCAAAACUCUUCUAUAUAUGCUCAUGAGAUGCAAAUCCCAAACACUACACAAUCGAGUUGACAUGAGGUAAGAUGCAGGCUUUGGAUUUUCGAUAAGAUAUUUUGUAAGGCAACUCCAGGACCAACAGAACUGAUGGUAUAGUGAAAUACAUCUACUAAUCAAAUCUACUCCCUCCGUUCGGAAUUAAUUAUCGCAAAAAUGGAUGUAUCUAGACGGUUUUUAGUUUUAGAUACAUCCAUUUUUGAGACAAGUAAUUCCGAACGGAGGGAGUACAUAUUAUAUGGCAGGAUCCAUGAACGCUAACCACCAGCACGCUGGAAGAAGAUUCCCUGGUUCCUAAUUUCCUGGCUGCUGGCUCAGCCUUUGUUGUUGUUGGCAAUUGGUUAUCUUGUCAGCACUUCACAAUUAGGAUGAUGCAUUCCCGUACUUAGCUUGGUGCUCAUUCGGUACUAUUUCAUUCAACUAGAGGGAUGUGUUUCUAGUCCCUGUUCUGAAUCUCUCUAAUUCUUGGGUGUAAGUGGGCGCACACUUAGGAAUUUAGUUUAGUUAGAUUUGGCCAAGUUUAGUUUUUUAAAUAGAAGUGGUCAUAUCCUUCUAUCUUAUUUUUUAAAAUUAUAAAAAUUGACAUCCAUGGGGUAGUUGUGGACUUGUGGUGCGGACAACCAAAGGCAGGGAUGCUGCCAGCGGCCACAAGGAAAUCUAAUUAUGUCAUUAUUGUUGGGCAUAUAAUGUGGUUGGUGUAGGCCAGUAAACCAUGGAAGGAAUUGGGCACUCAGACUCAAUAUUCACAACCAGAUAAGAUUUCGUUGAUACACUAUAUAUGUAUAUGUUACAUGUCAUUUGUACAUAUGAUAUUUCUCUCGAUUACCGACUAAUAGACGCUUAUGUUUGUGUAAAAUUUAUAUGCUUCAUGGAUUCAUAUAUUUAUUGUACAAAUAGACGGGCGUGGCAACGCGCGCCAUCAAUGAUCUAGUUAUUAUUGUAGCACAUGACUUAGGGCUUUCCAGAUGGUAGAAAUAUUUGUUGGCUAUAUUCCAUUGAGUAGGUUAUGAUCUAAUCUGUGAAGCAAUUAAUUUCUGCAUUUUCUGUUGUUCAUUCGCGCUGUUAGAUUAUCCAGGAUCACAUUUAACUUGGUAGUACUUAAAUUGCCGCAACUUCACUUUUUUGUCUGUUUAGUGAAUAACGUGUGUACAUUUGUUCUUUCCUAUACAAUAUCAGAUCUGCCAUAUGCAUGAAGUGGAUGCACCGGGACCUCAAACCAGAUAAUUUCUUGUUUGCAAACUGGAAAGAAACGGCUGCACUGAAAGCAAUUGAUUUUGGCCUGUUUGUUUUGUUUUUCACUCCAAUUAGAGUCAAUCCUAAUAUCCUAUAUGGCUAUCAUUGAAGCUUUCCAUUUUGACCCGUCUGUCACUUGUCGAUGAUAUGGUCAGAGGACAAAGCUGAGCUGAUACAGUAGCCUGUCUUAUGCUAUAUUUAGUUUUUGUUUUGACCUUGUGAAACUUGCUACCUAUGGAUGAAACUGUGUAAUAUUGAUGAAACUAUGUAUAUGUACA